UUAAGCGACUAAGCGUACACGGUGGAUGCCCUGGCAGUCAGAGGCGAUGAAGGACGUGCUAAUCUGCGAAAAGCGUCGGUAAGGUGAUAUGAACCGUUAUAACCGGCGAUGUCCGAAUGGGGAAACCCAGUGUGAUUCGUCACACUAUCGUUAACUGAAUACAUAGGUUAACGAGGCGAACCGGGGGAACUGAAACAUCUAAGUACCCCGAGGAAAAGAAAUCAACCGAGAUUCCCCCAGUAGCGGCGAGCGAACGGGGAGCAGCCCAGAGUCUGAAUCAGCUUGUGUGUUAGUGGAACGGUCUGGAAAGUCCGACGGUACAGGGUGAUAGUCCCGUACACCAAAAUGCACAGGNNUGUGAACUCGAAGAGUAGGGCGGGACACGUGGUAUCCUGUCUGAAUAUGGGGGGACCAUCCUCCAAGGCUAAAUACUCCUGACUGACCGAUAGUGAACCAGUACCGUGAGGGAAAGGCGAAAAGAACCCCGGCGAGGGGAGUGAAAAAGAACCUGAAACCGUGUACGUACAAGCAGUGGGAGCACCUUCGGGUGUGACUGCGUACCUUUUGUAUAAUGGGUCAGCGACUUAUAUUCUGUAGCAAGGUUAACCGUAUAGGGGAGCCGCAGGGAAACCGAGUCUUAACUGGGCGUUAAGUUGCAGGGUAUAGACCCGAAACCCGGUGAUCUAGCCAUGGGCAGGUUGAAGGUUGGGUAACACUAACUGGAGGACCGAACCGACUAAUGUUGAAAAAUUAGCGGAUGACUUGUGGCUGGGGGUGAAAGGCCAAUCAAACCGGGAGAUAGCUGGUUCUCCCCGAAAGCUAUUUAGGUAGCGCCUCGUGAAUUCAUCUUCGGGGGUAGAGCACUGUUUCGGCUAGGGGGUCAUCCCGACUUACCAACCCGAUGCAAACUACGAAUACCGAAGAAUGUUAUCACGGGAGACACACGGCGGGUGCUAACGUCCGUCGUGAAGAGGGAAACAACCCAGACCGCCAGCUAAGGUCCCAAAGUCAUGGUUAAGUGGGAAACGAUGUGGGAAGGCACAGACAGCCAGGAUGUUGGCUUAGAAGCAGCCAUCAUUUAAAGAAAGCGUAAUAGCUCACUGGUCGAGUCGGCCUGCGCGGAAGAUGUAACGGGGCUAAACCAUGCACCGAAGCUGCGGCAGCGACACUAUGUGUUGUUGGGUAGGGGAGCGUUCUGUAAGCCUGCGAAGGUGUGCUGUGAGGCAUGCUGGAGGUAUCAGAAGUGCGAAUGCUGACAUAAGUAACGAUAAAGCGGGUGAAAAGCCCGCUCGCCGGAAGACCAAGGGUUCCUGUCCAACGUUAAUCGGGGCAGGGUGAGUCGACCCCUAAGGCGAGGCCGAAAGGCGUAGUCGAUGGGAAACAGGUUAAUAUUCCUGUACUUGGUGUUACUGCGAAGGGGGGACGGAGAAGGCUAUGUUAGCCGGGCGACGGUUGUCCCGGUUUAAGCAUGUAGGCUGNNNNUCAUCUUCGGGGGUAGAGCACUGUUUCGGCUAGGGGGUCAUCCCGACUUACCAACCCGAUGCAAACUACGAAUACCGAAGAAUGUUAUCACGGGAGACACACGGCGGGUGCUAACGUCCGUCGUGAAGAGGGAAACAACCCAGACCGCCAGCUAAGGUCCCAAAGUCAUGGUUAAGUGGGAAACGAUGUGGGAAGGCACAGACAGCCAGGAUGUUGGCUUAGAAGCAGCCAUCAUUUAAAGAAAGCGUAAUAGCUCACUGGUCGAGUCGGCCUGCGCGGAAGAUGUAACGGGGCUAAACCAUGCACCGAAGCUGCGGCAGCGACACUAUGUGUUGUUGGGUAGGGGAGCGUUCUGUAAGCCUGUGAAGGUGACCUGUGAGGGUUGCUGGAGGUAUCAGAAGUGCGAAUGCUGACAUAAGUAACGAUAAAGCGGGUGAAAAGCCCGCUCGCCGGAAGACCAAGGGUUCCUGUCCAACGUUAAUCGGGGCAGGGUGAGUCGACCCCUAAGGCGAGGCCGAAAGGCGUAGUCGAUGGGAAACAGGUUAAUAUUCCUGUACUUAGUGUUACUGCGAAGGGGGGACGGAGAAGGCUAUGUUAGCCGGGCGACGGUUGUCCCGGUUUAAGCAUGUAGGCUGGUUGUCCAGGCAAAUCCGGAUAAUCAAGGCUGAGGUGUGAUGACGAGGCACUACGGUGCUGAAGUAACAAAUGCCCUGCUUCCAGGAAAAGCCUCUAAGCAUCAGGUAACAUCAAAUCGUACCCCAAACCGACACAGGUGGUCAGGUAGAGAAUACCAAGGCGCUUGAGAGAACUCGGGUGAAGGAACUAGGCAAAAUGGUGCCGUAACUUCGGGAGAAGGCACGCUGGUGUGUAGGUGAAGUCCCUGCGGAUGGAGCUGAGACCAGUCGAAGAUACCAGCUGGCUGCAACUGUUUAUUAAAAACACAGCACUGUGCAAACACGAAAGUGGACGUAUACGGUGUGACGCCUGCCCGGUGCCGGAAGGUUAAUUGAUGGGGUUA
rnacentral:rRNA from 1 species